rnacentral:rRNA from 1 species
GAUGAACGCUGGCGGCGUGCCUAACACAUGCAAGUCGAGCGGCAGCGAGGGGUGCUUGCACCCUGUCGGCGAGCGGCGGACGGCUGAGUAACGCGUGGGAACGUGCCUCAAAGUGAGGAAUAACUGCCCGAAAGGGUAGCUAAUACCGCAUAUUAUCUUCGGAUCAAAGGAUUUAUCCGCUUUGGGAGCGGCUCGCGUCGGAUUAGGUAGUUGGUGAGGUAAUGGCUCACCAAGCCGACGAUCCGUAGCUGGUCUGAGAGGAUGACCAGCCAGACUGGAACUGAGACACGGUCCAGGCUCCUACGGGAGGCAGCAGUGAGGAAUCUUCCACAAUGGGCGAAAGCCUGAUGGAGCAACGCCGCGUGCAGGACGAAGGCCUUCGGGUUGUAAACUGCUUUUAUAAGUGAGGAAUAUGACGGUAACUUAUGAAUAAGGAGCGGCUAACUACGUG